CCCCAACCAUUUUCCAAAAUGGAGAAGGGUUUAUAGUGAAGGUCUGAAGCCCUGAACCAAGAAAAAGGAGCAUUGCCUCUCUCUGAAUACCUCCCCACUCUCUCUCACUCCCCCUGUGUCCUCUACCUCAACUCUGCACUCGUUUCUCCCCUAUUAUCGUGCGCUCUCUCAAACGAGAAUCACUUUCGAAGUCUCAUCUUCUUCAACAUUCUUCAUCUUCUUCAACAAGGUAAGGUUUUUUUUCUUUUACUUUUUGGUGGUUUUCCUUUUGUCUUUUUUUGUUGUUGUUGGAGAUAAAUCAUUGUAUACGAUGCUUUUAAUGACUCCAUGAGAUUGAUGGUGUGCUCUAUUUGCUCUGCAUCUAAUGGCAAAAACAAAUUUCUCCUAAUGGUGUGCUCUAUUUGUCGGCAUCUAAUGGCAAAAAACAAAAUUUAUUCUAACUUUGAUAUAUGGGUUUGCUUACUUGGAGUAUGUAGAACUGGCAUUAUAACCGUAGCGUUCCUCAUGGUAAAUGCACAACAACAUUCCAUUCUCUAUAAACAAAAAACAAAAAAAAGGUAGAGAUUUUCUUUGUUGUAUUUUUUCUGGUUUUUUAUUUUGUCCUGUUGGUUUUGUUACUUUUUACUAGUUUUCUUUUACUUUUUUGUUGGGUAUAGAAGUUCCAUUCGCUAUGUAGAAUGGGUAUGUUUUUUUUUUUUUGGGGUACAUAAGUUCUAUUUUAAUCUGUAAAAAAACUUGGGUAUGGGUUUUUUAUGUUUUAUUUUUCCUCGUUUUUCCUUUUAGAUUUUGUUUUGUUUUGCUUCCCUGUGGAAGCAGUUUGUUUUUCAAGAAUACUUUUAAUCUCCUAGUUCCACUGUAAUAACGGUUCCAAAAGGGAAAAAUCGAAAGUUAUUUGGUUUUUUCAGUAAUACCUUGAAAUCCCACUUUGUAUUUUGUUUGUUUAUUGGAUUGGUCAAUGGAUAAUGAUCAAGUGGAGCUGGCCAUGCAAUCUUUGGAAAACUCCAUUUUUCGUGUUCAAUGGAGGCUCAAGGCUACUUCAAAGAGAGGCCUGAUUUUGGGUGUGAAUCUUUUCAUGGUUUAUUCGCUUUUUUUGUAAUAUAUUGAUCUCUUUUAGCUGCAUUUGAUCAAUUUAUCAAUUAUGUCAAUUUUAUGAAAUUUAUGGUUGCUCAAUUAGCAAGGAUUUGUGUUGGUGAAAUUGGGUUUUCUUUUGAAUGCUUAUUGCUCUUCUAUAGUUCUAUUAUAUGAUUUUC
rnacentral:lncRNA from 1 species